rnacentral:rRNA from 1 species
GCGAAACCGUGUGAUCUACCCAUGGGCAGGCUGAAGCUGUAGUAACAUACAGUGGAGGGCCGAACCGGUUGACGUUGAAAAGUCUUCGGAUGACCUGUGGGUAGGGGUGAAAGGCCAAUCAAACUCGGAAAUAGCUCGUACUCCCCGAAAUGCUUUUAGGAGCAGCGUAUAGUUAAGUGUAUAAGAGGUAGAGCUACUGGUUGGGCUAGGGGGAGUCACAUCCUACCAAACCCUAUCAAACUCCGAAUGCUUAUACAUGUUUCUAUGCAGUGAGGGUAUGGGUGCUAAGGUCCAUAUCCAAAAGGGAAAGAACCCAGAGCAUCAGCUAAGGUCCCCAAGUGUAUACUAAGUUGAGAAAAUGUGGUGUGAUUGCUUAGACAGCCAGGAUGUUGGCUUGGAAGCAGCCAUUCAUUUAAAGAGUGCGUAACAGCUCACUGGUCGAGCGAUCGCGCGCAGAUAAUGAUCGGGCAUCAAGUAUACCACCGAAGCUAUGCCUUGUACUUUGUACAGGGGUAGGGGAGCAUUCCAAUGGCGGCGAAGUUUUGUCGUAAGGCAUUGUGGAGCGAUUGGAAAAGAAAAUGUAGGCAUAAGUAACGAUAAUGAAGAUGAGAAAUCUUCACACCGCAAGACUAAGGUUUCCACAGCUAUGUUAAUCAACUGUGGGUUAGCCGGGACCUAACGCGUACCCGAAAGGGGAAGGGGAUGGAAAUUGGGUUAA